CAGGGAGACAACAAAAUGUUUAAUAUUAUUAUUUUGUCACCUUAGGUCGAUCGGUAUCUCACAUUUUUAAUUUAUUAAGAAUUUCAUUUCCUAAGUUUUUCUAGGUCACACCCAUUAUUUUUCCUGGGCCAUUAGCUCAGGUGGUUAGAGCGCACCCCUGAUAAGGGUGAGGUCCCUGGUUCAAGUCCAGGAUGGCCCAUAUCUCUAUGUUGGGGGUAUAGCUCAGUUGGUAGAGCGCCUGCUUUGCAAGCAGGAUGUCAGCGGUUCGAGUCCGCUUACCUCCACUGAUCACCACCUCUUCCAUAAUCGGUAGAAAGGAAAUUUUUUGAGUUGUGAUCAAAUUCUGAAAGAAUCUAGCUUCCUAAUGAAAUCAUUAAGAUGCUGGACUCAUUGAAUUAAUUUCAUUGUUUUCAGAGAACCUUGACAACUGCAUAGAUUAUUUUUAAAGACAAUAAGCAUCUUUAAUGAUGCAGAUUUAUUAUUUGUGCAAAUGCAUUAAUAACAAUUCUAUUAAGCUGAUGCUUCAAUAUUUUGAAGUUAUU
rnacentral:tRNA from 1 species